rnacentral:lncRNA from 1 species
GCGACUGCUCCCGCGAGGUCAGAGCCGGGCUGUGCCGCUGCCCCCGGGACUAGAAAGGGAAAUCUCCUUGCUAGAGGAGGAAGCCCUAAGAACUCAAGGGAGAUAGGGGUGGCAGGGGCAUUUCCCUGGAUGCCUGGAGCAUGGAGGGUGCGAAAUAAGGAGGCUUUCCUACCCCAUUGAUGAGCUGAAGUUGAUUCCGCACGGGGGAGGAAAGGGACAGGAAGCAUAAUUGGAUGUGCAAGCCUGUGGUUCUUCAGGAAGUUAACACGUGGAACUAACACUGUUGGAUGCUGCUGAACUCUCAGAAAAAUCAUCAUUGACAUCCAACACCAGCACUGGAAUGUUCAUCAGAGCCUCAAAGUGGAGCCUAUAAGAAGCGUGAACGUUUGGGGGACAGAAAAAAAGAAAUGUAACUUGAGUCAAGUUUCACAUACUCGCCAAGUCUUACUCAGAGAACAGAUCUAAAUUCAACAUGACUUUUCAAAGAAACUGCAUGUAAACUGCAUUUAAAAAAACAAAUUCAAUAAAGUUGGCCGGAAACAGAAAAAAAAAAAAA